ACAAGCCUGUUCGUUUGAGCAUAUCAGAUUACUGUUAGUCAUUUAACAAUAUUUUUCUCUCAUAAUAAAUCAGCAGUACUUCCUACAUGGUGACAUAUAUGCUUUGUGGUCAUGUGAUGUUAAGGCCUUGUUUAGUUCCCAAAAAGUAGCCAAAAUUUUUCAAGAUUCUCCGUUAUAUCGAAUCUUGUGGUAUAUGCAUAGAGUAUUAAAUAUAAAUGAAAAUAAAAACUAAUUGCACAGUUUGUCUAUAAAUCGUGAGAUGAAUCUUUUGAGCCUAGUUAGUCCAUGAUUAGAUAAUAAUUGCCAAAUAAAAAUAAAAGUGCUACAGUAUCCCAAAACAAAAAAUUUUUGGAACCAAACAAGGCCUAAGUUAGUUCCAAAUUUUGCCUUGAGCCAGUAGCCUCAUUUCUCGCCAGUACAUUAUAGUCGCUGACAUCUGUUGAGGGUACAAACAUGAUAAAAAUUUCCAAGCAACAAUGUUUUAUUCCAAACCCAAAACACAACAUCAAAGAUGCAUGAAAACAGAAGUAGCUGGCAACUUUGUCUUCCCAUGCAUGGUGCACUUGUUCUGUUCAUCCUUCGAAUACCUCCAGCAGGAUCUCCUUCAGCUCCUGAGGAGUGACUCCUGGGCUGAUGCUGCUGUGAUCCUCCAAGUAUUCCUUAAAGCCUCCAAGUAUAUAACUCCGUAUAUACCUGUUGAUUCUGUUAGUGAUGCUGUCAAAAAAAAAAAAGUUUGGUAGGUGAGGUUAUGGAGAUGGAGAUGGGGAGGCCAACUCGUGUAGAGCUGCUGCCGUAUGAAGUGGGAGUUGUUGAUCGAGAAGAUGAACUUGAGGC
rnacentral:lncRNA from 1 species